rnacentral:lncRNA from 1 species
UCAUCUAUCAGCACUUUUUCUGCAGUGUUACGAACAUCAGCUUCAUCACUGUCAGCCUGCGUUUUGCCUGCAACCCAUCAAAUGAGAAUUUUGGAAUUCAGCCAAAGGUUUGUCACAAUCCAAGGAGUGGCAUCAUUAAGAAUCAUCAAGAAAAACAAGAAAACUUUAGCAAGAACAGAAAGUUUAGUGGCAGUAUAACUUUUCCAUUCCCAUCUUUGUGCCCAGCUGUGUGGUAGCCUGAAAGCCACCAGGUUUGCUCCACAGUGGCUGUGAAAACCAGCAGCCCAGCAGCCCCUGCACGGGAGGAUUUCCUUUCUGCUUUCGAAAGCUCUGUCCCCGGAAAACUGUCACUAUUUCAUUUGUAUGUCAGCUCUCUAAAAAGGCACCCUUUUCAUAGCAUGUAUUUACCUCGUCUAACUCAGAGUGUGCUCUAUGUGGACAGUGCUAUUUCUGGGGCAAUUUUUUGCCAUCACAGCUACUUCCGACGGUGAGGCCAAUUGGAGCUAACAAGAGGCUGACCAAAAAACAAAAAAGGAAAAGGUAGGAAAGAUUUCCAGGUGCUUAAAGAAAAUCUCUGUCACAUCUGUGGGACUUUAGAAUACCACACUCCUGCACAGAAUUGUGUGUUUGCCCCAGGGCUGUGUACAUGCUAAGGAAAGACCUCAGAUGACCCUAAUUGUUCACCUCUGGCUGAAUUAAAGUCUCUAUGUGAACAGGAGGUGAAAUACAACAUAAAGUUGCAAGUUUCCCAGUGGAAUGUUGACAGUGUAUCUCAAUGGAUACACAUGCAGCCCCUUGGAAAAGUCCAGGUGAUUUAUUGGUUUAGUAUUUAAGAUCAUUUCUGUCCAAUCAUGAGCUGACCUCUAAGCUAAUGGAACAGCGUCUUUAGUGGCUACACAUGACACACGAUACAGACUUUAGCAAAUUAGUCCAGGAAAGUUACUAAGGAAGUAAUCAACAGCAAAGACUGUGCAAACAAACCCUGGGGAGAGAAUCUGAUUUCCAAACUGGCCACAUUAUAUUAUGUAAAAAGUCCAAUUUCAUUAAAGAAUUACGAGACAUGCAAAGAAACAAAAAAUAUUGCCCAUACAGAGAAGGGAAGGGAAACAAUGAACAGAGAUGAUCCUUUAGGAGCUCAGAUGAUGGAUUAGUAGACAAAGACAUCAGCUAUUAUAAAUACACUGAAAUAACUAAAGGAAACUCUGGACAAAAGACUAAAGGAAUGUAUGAGAAUAAUGUCUUACAACAUA